GCAGUUAACACAUUAAGUGUACCGCCUGGGGAGUACGGUCGCAAGAUUAAAACUCAAAGGAAUAGACGGGGACCCGCACAAGCGGUGGAGCAUGUGGUUUAAUUCGACGAUACGCGAAGAACCUUACCUGGCCUUGACAUAAGCAGAACAUAAUAGAGAUAUAUUGGUGCUAGUUUACUAGAACUGCUAUACAGGUGCUGCACGGCUGUCGUCAGCUCGUGUCGUGAGAUGUUGGGUUAAGUCCCGCAACGAGCGCAACCCUCGUGUCUAGUUACUAACAGUUCGGCUGAGGACUCUAGACAGACUGCCUGGGUAACCAGGAGGAAGGUGAGGACGACGUCAAGUCAUCAUGGCCCUUACGGCCAGGGCUACACACGUGCUACAAUGGGGUAUACAGAGAGCAGCAAUACCGCGAGGUGGAGCAAAUCUUUAAAAUAUCUCCCAGUUCGGAUAGCACUCUGCAGCUCGAGUGCUUGAAGUUGGAAUCGCUAGUAAUCGUGAAUCAGCAAUGUCACGGUGAAUACGUUCCCGGGUCUUGUACUCACCGCCCGUCACACCAUGGGAGUUGAAUUCAUUCGAAGCGGGGAUGCUAAAGUAGCUACCUUCCACAGUGGAUUUAGUAACUAGGGUGAAGUCGUAACAAGGUA
rnacentral:rRNA from 1 species